rnacentral:rRNA from 1 species
GAUGAACGCUGGCGGCGUGCCUAAUACAUGCAAGUCGAGCGAACGGACGAGAAGCUUGCUUCUCUGAUGUUAGCGGCGGACGGGUGAGUAACACGUGGAUAACCUACCUAUAAGACUGGGAUAACUUCGGGAAACCGGAGCUAAUACCGGAUAAUAUUUUGAACCGCAUGGUUCAAAAGUGAAAGACGGUCUUGCUGUCACUUAUAGAUGGAUCCGCGCUGCAUUAGCUAGUUGGUAAGGUAACGGCUUACCAAGGCAACGAUGCAUAGCCGACCUGAGAGGGUGAUCGGCCACCCUGGACAUGAGACACGGUCCAGAAUCCAGCGGGAGGCAGCAGGAGGGAAUCUUCCGCAAGGGGGAAAGCCUUAAGGGGAAAACCCGGGGGAGGGAAAGAAGUCCUUCGAUUCUAAAAACCUUUUUAUUGGGGAAAAAAAAAUUUUAAAGAACCAGGACCAUUUUUACGGGACCCAAUGCCAAAGGCCCGGCCAAACUCGGG